rnacentral:rRNA from 1 species
AAGGAUCAUUAGUGAAUUCACUAUGGAGUUGUUGCUGGCCUCUAGGGGCAUGUGCACGCUUCACUAGUCUUUCAACCACCUGUGAACUUUUGAUAGAUCUGUGAAGUCGUCUCUCAAGUCGUUAGACUUGGUUUGCUGGGAUGUAAACGUCUCGGUGUGACUACGCAGUCUAUUUACUUAUAACACCCCAAAUGUAUGUCUACGAACGUCAUUUAAAGGGCCUUGUGCCUAUAAACCAUAAUACAACUUUCAACAACGGAUCUCUUGGCUCUCGCAUCGAUGAAGAACGCAGCGAAAUGUGAUAAGUAAUGUGAAUUGCAGAAUUCAGUGAAUCAUCGAAUCUUUGAACGCACCUUGCGCCCCUUGGUAUUCCGAGGGGCAUGCCUGUUUGAGUGUCAUUAAAUUCUCAAACUCACUCUGGUUUUUUCCAAUUGUGAUGUUUGGAUUGUUGGGGGCUGCUGGCCUUGACAGGUCGGCUCCUCUUAAAUGCAUUAGCAGGACUUCUCAUUGCCUCUGCGCAUGAUGUGAUAAUUAUCACUCAUCAAUAGCACGCAUGAAUAGAGUCUGGCUCUCUAACCGUCCGCAAGGACAAUUUGACAAUUUGACCUCAAAUCAGGUAGGACUACCCGCUGAACUUAA